CUGGGAAGGCAGGUGUUAAUAACGGAACCUCUUUCCCAUUUCCGUGUUUAAAGCUUCAGGAUGAUUGUAUGGUGACACAGGUGGAAACUAAGAACUCCUCUUCUUUGUGGGCAACAUAAAUUCAAGGAAAGAAGAGCAUGUCUUGCUGAGUACAAUACCACCUGUGUUCAGACUUCCCCCCCCCCACCCCCGAAACCUGCUACAAGUCUCCAGGUGGAGUUAAUUUUACACUUUCAGCUGUUUCGUGCAGCUGCCGUGGUUUGUAGAGCAGGAGAAGAACAGAAGAAGAGACAACCCCAGCCUGAGAAAAGAAGCCAGAGACAGUUUUUUCCCCUCUGCAGUCCCUCCCACUCUAGCCUGUUUGUAAAUGUUACACUUACAACCUGACUGAACACACGUUGUGACUGUGCAGUAGUUCACUUGCUAGAUUCAGCCCUGGUGUGUAGCUCCCCUCCACAAACUAACUCCAGAUCUACAAGACCACACACUGCCCUGGUUCCACACUCAGACUGAAAACAGUAGUUGGUCAAAGCAUCUAAAUGAUAAUAGAUAAUAAUAAUAAUUAAUAAUAAAUAAA